AACUGGAAGUUGAGUAUUUCUGAGGCUUUCCUAAGUGAGGGAAAGAAUUAUUACAGUAAAGGUACAAUAUCAUUCUUUAUUACAGUUUUUUAUACCACCCAGCUAACUUUCCUGAAUUUGUUGAUUAUGAUUUUCCCUCCUGAAAUAGAUUCUGUAAUUAACAGUUUGUAUCUUUUCAUGCCAGGCCGGAGGGGGCUUGGAACAACCUGGACUAGUGGAAGGUGUCCCUGCCUGAUGCCAAGGUGAGCUGAAGGAUGAUUUUUUCCUUACUGGGACAUGUGCCCUGUUUGUCUCCAGUAUUUUUCUGGAAGAAACCAACAUUUUCUCGUUUAUCCUCGCAGCGGUGGCAGCACUGAUGUCCCUUUCAGACUGAAAUCCAGAGGCUGAUUGCCCUCCCUGGCCCUGGGAGGGUCGGGCAGUGCCAGCCGUGUCCUGCUGUCCCCUUCCUGCCCUUCCUGCAGCACGCUGGGUGUGGGACGAGCGCCGAGGGUCCCGUGGGAGCGCAGGAAGCGCCGAUCCAUGGAGAGGCGAGCAGGGAUGGCCGCUCUGAGGGUUUUGGACCCUUAAAAGCUGGAAGUGUAUCCUCCAAGAGGCAAGGUUGCUUCAGGCUCUUUGGUGAGGGUGAAAUGAAGCUCUGCCGUGUGUCAGAGCUGAACCAGAGGUGAAUUACCUGACCUGGAGGGAUGCAUCCACUGCUGGAGAACCAGGACAUUCUGGGGAGCUCCCAAGGUUUGCAUCACACUUCUGCCACAGCUGACUUGGACCCUUUGGAACUGGAAACAAGGCUUGGUUCAGGCAGUGGCUCUAAAAAGCAUUCUGAGGGGCACUGCUGGAAGGCCCAGGGACACCUCAGCCAAGGCCCAGGAUCCUUUCCUGCUGCAUCCAGAAGGUGCUGCUGGGGGACUCACACUGAUUCCAACAGCUCCAAAGGGACCAUGUGGAGGCCAGGAGCAGCUCAGACUCAGGUGGUGAAAGCACAGCACCAUUUCCCUGCCUUGAGGGAAGAAGGUCUCUGAACAGCCAUGCAUCAAGUGAAAUGAAGUGGUUUAUGUCCCAGAGGAGUCUGCAGCUCAUCCACAACAUGAUACCUGCAUGUUUUGAGAGGUUCUCUGGACUUUCUGCCAGGGCUCCUUAUCCAGUUCAUGACAGAGUGGCUUGGGAGGGGAAUGUGCUGUUCAGCAUCUCAGGUAAAACCCAG
rnacentral:lncRNA from 1 species